GAGGACACAGCUAAUGUAAUAAUGGGGAAGGACACUAGAUAAUGUAAUUAGGGGGCACAAAGCGGUGUCUAGAUGGUCACAAGCUGUCUUCCUGUCCUCCUGUCUUCCGUCAGGUUGAGGGGACUGAGGACGAAGACCAGCAGGCUGCAGAGCCAGACAGGACCAAAGCAGCAGAAUCAGAGACAGCAGAAACAUCAACAACAUCCACGUCAACCCCAGGCCCAGCAGAGAACCACUGUGGAGGAGGAGGAAGAGGAGGAGAGGAGGAGGCAAUAACCAUCAACCUCCAGCCCUCGAACGCCUAUGAGUUCAACCAGUCCCUGAACGCAGCGCGGGCCCAGUCCAACCUCCCAGCCUGUGCUGAGCUGCUGAGCCGUGUUCCCCCUGAGACUCUGCCCGUCUACCUCAGUAAUCAGCUGGAUGGACACACGGUCAGCUUCAUUUUGCAGACCCUGGACACACAGCUCCUACAGAAGGACCCGAACCUCGUCUACCAGCACCUCAACCAUCUACACACUGCUGACAGGUUCUCGGUCGUCAUGAUGCUGCUAAAGAGUGAACAUGAUCAGAUGACGCGACUGUUUGACCGUCUGUCUGCUGUAGACAGUGAUGCCUUCAGUAAGAACGAUGUGCAGAACCUGGCCAACAAGUACAAAAUGACCUCUAACCUCUGACCCUGUCUGGCCUGCUGGAGCGCAUCCCAAUAGGUCCCUAUUACCGAGUGCACUAUGGGGGAAUAAGGCACCAUUUGGAAACAGCCGACUUUAAACACGAGUCCAGACUGCAAAUCACUUUGCGUCCGAAAUAACUACUCAAUAUUAUUUUUGUAGUCAAGUCACAAUUUACCCACGAUACAGCACGGUUUGAUGUUCUCCAAUGCGACCCUUCACUCUGUCCUGCGUGAAGCUCCCAACAUGCCGUACUGGAUCAUGCAACGCUGCACAAACCGACUCAGAAACUGCUGCUCAAGCAUACGGACCCAACACUCGAGCAUCAAUGACGCAGACUACCGACCCGAACCGUACUAGCGACAUCGACGACAGACGCACGAAGACCGAACGAGCAGCAGCAUUAGACAAACGCAGAUCGACGGCCAGACAACCGACCUCAAACCGACUCAGAAGAACGUCGUCAGAGCAUUACGGACCCAAACCGACUCAGAAGAACGUGCUAGAGCAUUACGGACCCAAACCGACUCAGAAGAACGUGCUCAGAGCAUUACGGACCCAAACCGACUCAGAAGAACGUGCUCAGAGCAUUACGGACCCAAACCGACUCAGAAAACGUGCUCAGAGCAUUACGGACCCAAACCGACUCAGAAGAACGUGCUCAGAGCAUUACGGACCCAAACCGACUCAGAAGAACGUGCUCAGGCAUUACGGACCCAAACCGACUCAGAAGAACGUGCUCAGAGCAUUACGGACCCCAAACCGACUCAGAAGGCUGAACGUGCUCAGAGCAUUACGGACCCAAACCGACUCAGAAGAUGCUGACGUGCUCAGAGCAUUACGGACCCAAACCGACUCAGAAGUGCUGAACGUGCUCAGAGCAUUAUGGACCCAAAACGACUCAGAAGAACGUGCUCAGAGCAUUACGGACCCAAACCGACUCAGAAGGACGUGCUCAGAGCAUUACGGACCCAACCGACUCAGAAGAUGCUGACGUGCUCAGAACAUUACGGACCCAAACCGACUCAGAAGAUGCUGAACGUGCUCAGAGCAUUACGGACCCAAACCGACUCAGAAGAUGCUGAACGUGCUCAGAGCAUUACGGACCCAAACCGACUCAGAAGAUGCUGAACGUGCUCAGAGCAUUACGGACCCAAACCGCUCAGAAGAUGCUGAACGUGCUCAGAGCAUUACGGACCCAAACCGACUCAGAAGAUGCUGAACGUGCUCAGAGCUACGGACCCAAACCGACCCGUUUAUUUCUCUCUAUGUAAUAUAUCACAUCUCUACCGACCGCUACUAGGUAUUUCUCUCUCUCCAAAGACCUUUUUCACCCUGAUCUGUUUUUAGCGUUAGUUGACCGACAGUAAAUGUUGAAAUGUUGUGAACUAUUUAGCUUUUAAAAAACAUUAUGCAUAGGUCCAUGUUCCAGAUAUCUGUCAGCAUUUCCUGCGGGUCCGUGUUCUGCGGGCCAGGUCCAUUCUCCAGCCUGCAGAAACCUUUUCAAAUCAGAUAACAACCAUAACAAUGAAUGACUACUUUCCCAGGCUGCUUUGACUGGCCAAUAGGAGGUUGAUUUGUUUCCCGGGUUUGAAAUUUUAAAAAAAUGUGGAAGGGACAAUGAAUUCCAAGCUGGAAGACAUAACGACUUGAAUUGACCGGGCUAGCGUUAGCCCCAGAGGCUUUGUUGUUGUACGCUUUAUCAUGCUGAUAUUAAACUAGAUUAAUGCAUGAUUCAUAAUCACAAUAUUAGCCAAGCGUAUAAACGAUCCAAACAGCACUAUUUCCUCUGGGGUUCAAGGAGUAUAUUUCCUUGGGUUCAAGGAGUAUAUUUCCUCUGGGGUUCAAGGAGUUAUUUUCUGGGGUUCAAGCAGUAUAUUUCCUCUGGGGUUCAAGCAGUAUAUUUCCUCUGGGGUUCAAGGAGUAUUUUCCUCUGGGGUUCAAGGGUAUAUUUCCUCUGGGUUCAAGGAGUAUAUUCCUCUGGGGUUCAAGGAGUAUAUUUUCCUCUGGGGUUCAAGGAGUAUAUUUCCUCUGGGGUUCAAGGGUAUAUUUCCUCUGGGGUUCAAGGAGUAUAUUUCCUCUGGGGUUCAAGGAGAUAUUUCCCUGGGGUUCAAGCAGUAUUUUUCCUCUGGGGUUCAAGGAGUAUUUGACCAUCCAUUCUCUGUCUAGAAACAAAUCGUAGUUUUGGGCCAGUCGUCUAGUUCUGUGUUAACCCCCAUUGUCUGAAAACAAUGAUGAAGCAACUACAAUGUGCUCAAUACUAACGGGGAUUAUACAGGACUGCCAGUCAAGGUAAUGCAAUACUACGGGGAAUUAUACAGGAAGUCAAGGUAAAUGCAAUACUAACGGGGAAUUAUACAGGAAUCAAGGUAAAUGCAAUACUAACGGGGAAUUAUACAGGAAGUCAAGGUAAAUGCAAUACUACGGGGAAUUAUACAGGAAGUCAAGGUAAAUGCAAUACUAACGGGGAAUUAUACAGGAAGUCAAGGUAAAUGCAAUACUAACGGGGAAUUUACAGGAAGUCAGGUAAAUGCAUAUACGGGGAAUUAUCAGGAAGUCAAGGUAAAUGCAAUACUAACGGGGAAUUAUACAGGAAGUCCAGGUAAAUGCAAAGUAAGUGUGUAAAAACAUUUAUCUUUGAAGAAAUGACCGAAGUUUGAAAAUGCCCCAGCAUCAGCCAGCCAGCCAGCCAGUCAGCCAGUCAGUCAGCUAGCUAGCGGAGCACCCUUCCAUCUGCAGUAGUCAGCACCUAUGCAAAAUGCCCCGCAUCAGUCAGCCAGCCGCCAGUCAGCCAGCCAGUCAGCCAGCUAGCUAGCGGAGCACCUUCCAUCUGAGUAGUCAGCAGUCUAAUGCAAAUGCCCCAGCCAGCCAGUCAGUCAGUCAGCCAGCCAGCCGUCAGUCAGUCAGCCAGCAGAGCACCCUUCCAUCCAGCAGCAGUCUAAUGGAUCUACACUGUUCUGUCGUGAACCCAUUUCAGAGUUCUGUUUGAACCCAUUCAGAUGUUCUGUUCUGAACCCAUUUCAGAUGUUCUGUCGUGUGAACCCAUUUCAGUGUCUGUUGUGAACCCAUUCAGAUUUCUUGUUGUGAACCCAUUUCAGAUGUUCUGUUGUGAACCCAUUUCAGAUGUUCUGUUGUGAACCCAUUUCAGAUGUUCUGUUGUGAACCCAUUUCAGAUGUUCUGUUCGUUGCAGAAGACAAUAGUACAUUUAAUGACUUGUCAAAAUGUUAGUGUGUUCUUUCUUUCUGUGUCAACCUCAGUGAUCUGAAUGUACCAGUCGCUUGGUUUAAGCAUUCUAUAGCAAUAUAGCUGCACGGUCAGCGGGUAGCGGCUCAGGGAGGGAGUCGCUUGGUUUAAGGGAGUCGCUUGGUUUAAGGGAGAGUCGCUUGGUUUAGCAUUCUAUAGUAAUAUAGCUGCAUGGUCAGCGGGCUAGCGGCUCAGUGAGGGAGUCGCUUGGUUUAAGCAUUCUAUAGUAAUAUAGCUGCAGCGGUCAGCGGGCUAGCGGCUCAGUGAGGGAGUCGCUUGUUUAAGGGAGUCGCUUGGUUUGAGUCGCUUGGUUUAACCAUUCUAUAGCAAUAUAGCUGCACGGUCAGCGGGCUAGCGGCUCAGUGAGGGAGUCGCUUGGUUUAACCAUUCUAUAGCAAAAUAAAAAAUAUGUAAAAAUGUGUUUUAAGUCAAAAAUGUAAAUGGUUCUUUAACAAUAAAACUGGGAUAAAUAGUUUAUACAUGCUUAUUUCUCUGAUACUAUACAAAUCACAAUGAUUGUGAAUAUAUUAAUGUUAUGAAAAACUGAAUAAAAGUGAAGACCAAUUGUCCUCUUGAUUCUUAUUGUUACUAAAAACUGAUAUCUGCCUCAGAAUGCUGUUCGUUGACUACAGCUCAGCGUUCAACACCAUCGUGCCCACGAAGCUCAUCACAAAGCUAAGGAUCCUGGGACUAAACACCUCCCUCUGCAACUGGAUCCUGGACUUCCUGACGGGCCGCCCCCAGGUGGUGAGGGUAGGUAACAACACGUCUGCCACGCUGAUCCUCAACACUGGGGCUCCUCAGGGGUGUGUGCUAGUCCCCUCCUGUACUCACUGUUCACCCACGACUGCAAAACCGUCAUUAAGUUUGCUGACGACACAACAGUGGUAGGCCUGAUUCUCGACAACGAUGAGACAGCCUAUAGGGAGGAGGUCAGAGACCUGGUGGUAGGCCUGAUCCCCGACAACGAUGAGACAGCCUAUAGGGAGGAGGUCAGAGACCUGGUGGUAGGCCUGAUCCCCGACAACGAUGAGACAGGCCUGAUCCCCGACAACAAUGAGACAGCCUAUAGGGAGGAGGUCAGAGACCUGGCCCGGUGGUGCCAGGACAACAACCUCUCCCUCAACAAUGAGACAGCCUAUAGGGAGGAGGUCAGAGACCUGGCAGUGUGGUGCCAGGACAACAACCUCUCCCUCAAUGUGAUCAAGACAAAGGAGCUGAUCGUGGACUACAGGAAAAAGAGGGCCGAACAGGCCCCCAUUCACAUCGACGGGGAUGUAGUGGAGCGGGUCAAGAGUUAAGUUCCUUGGUGUCCACAUCACCAACGGACUAUCAUGGUCCAAACACACCAAGACAGUUGUGAAGAGGGCACAACAAAAACUAUUCCCCAUCAGGAGACUAAAAAGACUUGGCAUGGGUCCUCAGAUCCUCAAAAAGGUUCUACAGCUGCACCACCGAGAGCAUCCUGACCGGUUGCAUCACCGCUUAGUAUGGCAACUGCUCUGCAUCUGACCGCCAGGCGCUACAGAGGGUAGUGCGUACGGCCCAGUACAUCACUGGGGCCAAGCUUCCUGCCAUCCAGGACCUAUAUACCAGGCGGUGUCAGAGACAAACCGAUAAAAUUGUCAAGAGACUCCAAUCACCCAAGUCAUAGACCAUUCUCUCUGCUACCACAUGGUAAGCGGUACCGGAGCGCCAAGUCUAGCACCGUCAUAGGAUGCCACCUUUCCAACAAGACAGUUUGUAAAAUUCCUACCCUGCUAGAGCUUCCCCGGUCAACUUUGAGUGCUGUUAUUGUGAAGUGGAAACAUCUAGAAGCAACAACAUAGGCCACACAAGCUCACAGAACUGGACCGCUGAGUGCUGAAGCGCGUCUGUCCUCGGUUGCAACACUCACUCCCGAGUUCCAAACUGCCUCUGGAAGCAACGUCAGCACAAGAACUGUUGGUCGGGAGUUUCAUGAAAUGGGUUUCCAUGGCCGAGCAGCCGCACACAAGCCUAAGAUCACCAUGCAUAAUGCCAAGCCUCGGCUGGAGUGGUGUAAAGCUCACCGUCAUUGGACUCUGGAGUGAUGAAUCACGCUUCACCAUCUGGCAGUCCGACGGACGAAUCUGGGUUUGGCAGAUGCCAGGAAAACACUACUUGCCCCAAUGCAUAGUGCCAACUGUAAAGUUUGGUGGAGGAGGAAUAAUUGUCUGGGGCUGUUUUUCAUGGUUCGGGCCCUUUAGUUCCAGUGAAGGGAAAUCUUAAUGUUACAGCAUACAAUGACAUUCUAGACGAUUCUGUGCUUCCAACUUUGUGGCAACAGUUUGGGGAAGGCCCUUUCCUGUUUCAGCAUGACAAUGCCCCCAUGAACAAAGCCAGGUCCAUACAGAAAUGUUUUGUCGUGAUCGGUGUUGAAGAACUUGACUGGCCUGCACAGAGCCCUGACCUCAAAUCCAUCGAACACCUUUGGAAUGAAUUGGAAAGUCGACUGCGAGCCAGGCCUAAUCACCCAAUAUCAGUGUCCCCACAGCAAUGUUCCAACAUCUAGUGGAAAGCCUUCCCAGAAGAGUGGAGGCUGUUAUAGCAGCAAUGUUCCAACAUCUAGUGGAAAGCCUUCCCAGAAGAGUGGAGGCUGUUAUAGCAGCAAUGUUCCAACAUCUAGUGGAAAGCCUUGCCCAGAGAGUGGAGCCUGUU
ensembl:lncRNA